AUGCGGGGUUCCGAGAUGCGGAGGCGGGCACCAGAGUACCGGCGGCAGUCGCGGCGGCGGCUGCCGGGAUGGAUCUGGUGGCUCGUUGGGAUCUUCCUUGUGGUUGGGCUCAUGCUCUUCGUCCUGCACCACAACCAGAAGGAGCAGUUCCGGCCGCCCGUCAUAAAUAAAGGGUCAGAAACUGAAGAAGUUUCUCCUGAGAUAUUUAAUUUCACUGAAGAGCUUUUAAGCAGUACAUCUUUUGCACGUCAAUUAGCAGACCAAAUGACUCUAGCAAAGGCCUAUGUUAUCCUUGCGAAAGAGCAUGGCAACCUUCAGCUUGCAUGGGAACUUGGUUCCCAAAUAAGGAAUUCUCAAAGAUUGCUCUCUCAAGGGGCUGUUAGUGGGAGAGCCAUCACUCAGGAGGAAGCCCAUCCUAUAAUAACUCGGCUGGCACAGUUAAUAUACAAAGCGCAGGACUCUCAUUAUGAUAUCAGCACCACAAUGGUGACACUCAAGAGCCAUGCCCUCGCACUAGAGGAGCGUGCAAAGGCAGCAGUUGUUCAGACUGCCGAGUUUGGUCAGUUAGCUGCAGAAUCACUUCCCAAGAAUAUCCAUUGUUUAACGGUGAAACUGACAGAAGAGUGGCUUCAGAACCCAAAACUAAGGAGUCGUUCAGAGGAGCACAGGAAUUCCACACGGUUGGUAGACAAUAAUCUGUAUCAUUUCUGUGUGUUCUCGGAUAAUGUGCUGGCCACUUCAGUUGUUGUCAAUUCUACAGUGUCAAAUGCAAACCACCCUCAGCAGCUUGUGUUUCAUGUAGUCACAGACAGGAUCAAUUUUGGUGCUAUGUCAACCUGGUUCCUGAUAAAUGACUUCAAAGGGUGCACUGUCGAAGUCCACUGCAUAGACGAGUUCUCAUGGUUGAAUGCUGCUUCUUCUUCUCUUGUCAGGCGGCUGUCCGAGAUGGAAACAAAGGGUUCCUCUGGUGGUUUGAAGACGCAAGAACGGGAAAUAAAGUUCCAUAAUCCGAAGUUUGUUUCUCUGCUGAACCAUUUACGGUUCUACAUCCCUCAAAUACUCCCCAACCUGGAGAAGGUGGUUUUUCUUGAUGAUGAUGUUGUGGUGCAAAAGGACUUGACACAGCUUUUUUCCAUAGAAUUGCAUGGUAAUGUUAUUGGAGCAGUGGAGACUUGUUUAGAGUCAUUUCAUCGGUAUCACAAAUAUCUUAAUUUCUCGCAACCAAUAAUCAGCUCAAAGAUUGAUCCACAUACAUGUGGGUGGGCUUUUGGAAUGAACAUAUUUGACCUAAUUGCUUGGAGGAAAGCAAAUGCAACAUCGCUUUAUCAUUAUUGGCAGGAGCAAAAUGCUGAUCAAUUGCUUUGGAGAACGGGCACACUUCCAGUAGGCCUUUUGACAUUUUAUGGCCUAAUGGAGCCCCUAGACCGGAGAUGGCACGUAUUGGGUCUUGGGUAUGAUGUAGACAUAGAUGACCGCUUGAUUGAGAGUGCUGCUGUUGUGCAUUAUAAUGGGAACAUGAAACCCUGGCUGAAGUUGGCCAUUCACCGGUACAAGUCUAUAUGGGAGCGGCAUGUCAAUUUCUCGCACCCACAUGUUAGAGAGUGUAUGUUUCACUAG
rnacentral:rRNA from 1 species